rnacentral:tRNA from 1 species
GGAUGUAGCUCAGUGGUAGAGCGCUUGCCUAGCACGCACAAGGCCCUGGGCUCAAUCCCCAGUACCA